UACACGCUGUGACUAGCAUAUCAAUAAGCGGAGGAAAAGAAACUAACAAGGAUUCCCCUAGUAACGGCGAGUGAAGCGGGAAGAGCUCAAAUUUGAAAUCUUAAAGGGUUUCCCUUUACGAAUUGUAGUUUAAAGAAGUGUUUUCUGUUGAGGUUUUGGUAAAAGUUCUUUGGAAUAGGACAUCAUAGAGGGUGAGAAUCCCGUAUUUGACCUUUACUUUCAACUUUGUGAUACACUUUCAAAGAGUCGGAUUGUUUGGGAAUGCAGUCCAAAAUGGGUGGUAAAUUUCAUCUAAAGCUAAAUAUUGGCGAGAGACCGAUAGCGAACAAGUACCGUGAGGGAAAGAUGAAAAGAACUUUGAAAAGAGAGUUAAACAGUACGUGAAAUUGUCAAAAGGGAAGCGUUUGACACCAGUGUUGUUUUUCUGAAAAUCAAUUAAAGAACUGUUUAUGCUAAGCUGUUUAGACUUUAUCAGCUAUCUGUUUAGUUUUGAGCUUUUCUUUAAUGCACUUUUCAGUUAACAAGUCAACAUCAAUUUCUUUUGCUGUAAAAAAGCUUGAGGAAGGUGGCUUGAGAUUCGUCUUAAGUGUUUAUAGCCUCUUGCCUAUGCAGUCGGAGAGAUUGAGGUCUGCAGCGUAGAUCCUUCGGGGCUAAAUGCAUUUGUGCUAAGUUAUAGCAUUUUAUAGACAACUUGUUGACUAUGAUUUGUCUUGUAGCUUACUCGCUUAUGUUAUUUUACCUACGCUUAGGAUGUUGAUAUGCAUGACUGAUAU
rnacentral:rRNA from 1 species